UACGUAGGGGGCAAGCGUUGUCCGGAGUUAUUGGGCGUAAAGCGCGCGCAGGCGGUCUUCCAAGUCAGUGGUGAAAGCCCGGAGCUCAACUCCGGAACUGCCAUUGAAACUGUGAGACUUGAGGAUGAGAGAGGUGAGUGGAAUUCCCAGUGUAGAGGUGAAAUUCGUAGAUAUUGGGAAGAACACCGGUGGCGAAGGCGGCUCACUGGCUCAUUUCUGACGCUCAGGCGCGACAGCGUGGGGAGCAAACAGG
rnacentral:rRNA from 1 species